rnacentral:lncRNA from 1 species
GAUCCCAGCUUGAUAAUGCCUAAGAAAGCUCUGAAACUCUUGCUGAGCUGGUUGAAAUAGAUAAGCCUAAAAUAGAUUCUCUACAGGCAGUUACAGAAACUUGAAUCUGGAAUAUUGAUCAGACAGUGUGCAGGAGCCAAGUUUACAGAGAAGGAGGAGGAGAAGGAGAAGGAGAAGGAGAAGGAGAAGGAGAAGGAGAAGGAGAAGGAGAAGGAGAAGGAGAAGGAGAAGGAGAAGGAGAAGGAGAAGGAGAAGGAGAAGGAGAAGAAGGUAUCUUGGUACUUCUUGGUACCUUACCAGUUUUUUGCCUACCCUCCCUACUAGUUUGUAUUGCUGCUGCAGUCACUCUCUUCCAUUGGUGGCCUGAAAGUUCUCAUGACAUUUUUACAGGUUUUGAGCAGAAUCCUGCAAAAAUAGAAGGAGAUCAGAGUGGUUUGUCGUCAGCAACUAGGAUGCUGCAGGGCUUGCUGGGGGUACAGCAAGUCAGGCUGCCCCCUACUUACCAAAGCUGGUGUCUGGUUGCAAGGCAAGAAAAAAAAUGCAGAUAACGAAGAAAAUGUAACUGCACCUUAAAACUGAUAUUUGCCAGUAUCUGUGUCUCAUUUUGAAAUUCAAUGCUCUCUUAUGGAGAAAUGAGAAAGCUGCAAGGCAGAGUCUUUCUGUGGGGGCACUGUUGUAUGUGCUGGGUUAAAAGCUGAGGGACAGGGGAAGCACUCGCUUGCAUGGGUACAGCAGAGCAUAGUGCCAGCUCCCUGCUGCUGGCCUUACCUCUCACCACUGGCAGAAAGGGAGCUGACACAAGAGUAGGCACAAAUGCAUUAUGUUAAAGGACAAAGCAACAUGUACUUCUAUUGUUUAAACAAAAGUUUGAAUAUAUUCUGCUCAUGUCUCAAUGUGGCAGGUUUUUGCAAUUAAAAUCUCCUUUGGGAGAUUAACUUUACACUCUGUGUUAGGAAUCAAAAGCAUAAAAACAUAACAUGGAUGCACCUGAAUAAGACAGAAAUUAAUCAAAAGUUAACAGAAAACAGAAUGGAUUUUAAGUAGUAUUUUAAUCCACUUCUACUCCAUGACUACAUCUUUUGUAGGGUUGGUUUGACAGCACAGAAUAAUAAAGGCACAGUACUUUUUAGAAAAAGUACA